AAACUCAUACGAACAUGGUACAGACAGAUUCACACAAAGAAAAGAAAAAGAAGAAGAGUCAGAAGUUAUUUUGAGAUUUUUCGGAAACCCUAAAUUUGAAGCAAACUAAUUUUGAAAAGAAAAUUGGGGAAAAGCUUUAAAACGUUCAAUAUAGCACAGAUACACCACAAGUAAAUAAAAGAGGAAGGAACCUCGAAUAGUUUUAGGGUUUCUCAAAAACCCAAGAAAUGAGAAGGCUUGGAAGAGGUGUGGUCUUGAGUCAAAGAUGGCCAUGGCUAGGCUUCUAAAGCUCGAAUACAUCGGAGACAUGCCGGAGAGGCCAUACAACCACAGAUCUGAGAAGAUCUGAACGAACGCCAUCGAGGUCAGACGUCAAAAUCUCGAACACGCAUGGCUUAGGAGUGAAGGAAGGUGAGCACGGGUCGUCCAUGGCCUGAAAAGCCAUGGACUCCGGCGAGAUAAUGGUCGGAGAAGACAAGGGAGGCGAUUAGGGUUUUGAGUUCUUGAGAGCGUUUUCAGAUAGAAGGCGGCUGUCUAAAAGAAAUGAGGGUUAGGGUUGGGGGUUGGUAGAAUAAAAAAGAAAAAGGGUCGUUUGUGGUUAUUGAUCAAAAAGAUCAACGACCUGGAUUAAAGGGAUUCUAGGCGGGUCAGAUUAAACUGGGUUUGGGACAAGAC
rnacentral:lncRNA from 1 species